ACUCCUACGGGAGGCAGCAGUGGGGAAUAUUGGACAAUGGGCGAAAGCCUGAUCUAGCCAUGCCGCGUGAGUGAUGAAGGCCUUAGGGUCGUAAAGCUCUUUCGCCUGUGAUGAUAAUGACAGUAGCAGGUAAAGAAACCCCGCGUAACAUCCGUGCCAGCAGCCGCGGUAAUACGGAGGGGGUUAGCGUUGUUCGGAAUUACUGGGCGUAAAGCGCACGUAGGCGGAUUGGAAAGUU
rnacentral:rRNA from 1 species